GGGGCUGACCUGGUUUCUACGUAUUAAAUCUUUGUUUAGUUUAUUGUUAACUUAAUUACUUUUUAAUUGCAAAAAACAAUAUAUUGGUUUUUUCUAAAAGUUUAGUUCAUUUAUAAGUUUUAGAACGUUAAAUUAUUUUUUUCUAUAUAAUUUGAUGUAUAUAUUGAAAUGCUCUGACUGUGAAUUAGCUUAUUAUAUUAUUAAUACUGCAGUUAGUUAAGUUGAAUUACUUUUAUACUUAAACUUUUUAAUUCUGAAAGUUAACUUAUAUAUAGACUUAAUAUACUGUAACAAUACGGACGUGGGUUCGAAUCCCACCAGUUCCA
rnacentral:tmRNA from 1 species